rnacentral:rRNA from 1 species
GACGUAGGGCGCGAGCGUUGUCCGGAUUUAUUGGGCGUAAAGAGCUCGUAGGCGGCUUGUCGCGUCGACUGUGAAAUCCCGCGGCUCAACUGCGGGUCUGCAGUCGAUACGGGCAGGCUAGAGUUCGGUAGGGGAGACUGGAAUUCUCGGUGUAGCGGUGAAAUGCGUAGAUAUCGAGAGGAACACCUGCGGCGAAGGCGGGUUGCUGGGCUGACACUGACGCUGAUGUGCGAAAGCUAGGGGAGCGAACGGG